rnacentral:rRNA from 1 species
UACAGAGGUCUCAAGCGUUGUUCGGAUUCAUUGGGCGUAAAGGGUGCGUAGGUGGCGCGGUAAGUCGGGUGUGAAAUCUCGGAGCUUAACUCCGAAAUUGCAUUCGAUACUGCCGUGCUUGAGGACUGGAGAGGAGACUGGAAUUCCAGGUGUAGCGGUGAAAUGCGUAGAGAUCCGGAGGAACACCAAAGGCGAAGGCAGUGUCCUGGGGAGUACCUGACGCUGCAGGUGCGAAAGCCAGGGGAGCGAACGGG